AGCCCAUGGUUAGGGCAUCUUCUCAAUAAUUCUUUGUAUCUCUGCCAUGCAUCAUAAAGUGUUUCUAAAUCCAUCUGCACAAAAGAAGAGAUAUCAUUCCUUAACUU
rfam:Gossypium hirsutum cultivar TM-1 scaffold4172.1_1, whole genome shotgun sequence